UUCUUUUUUCCCUUUCCCAGUUUGACUUUUGCCAUCUAGAGUUUGUAAAUUAAGUGGUCAGAUCUGAUCUAGCUUCCUUGAGAGGUGCCUUACUUCAAAAGUUCUCAGACUGAAAAAAAAUUCGCCCAUUUUUUCAAAUCUUUGAUGGUUUCAUUUCGAAUGUUUUAGUCUUUGCUCAGUCUGGAUUCCCUUGCUGUCUUCCUGUAGCCCCAUCUGUGACUUCCUAGAACUCCAGCGCCGUUACCGCAGCCUCCUGGUCCCCUCAGAUUUUCUGUCCGUGCAUCUGAGUUGGCUAUCAGCCUUCCCCCUGAGCCAGCCCUUUUCCCUCCAUCAUCCAAGCCGGAUCCAGGUCUCUUCUGAAAAGGAGGCAGCUCCAGACGCUGGUGCUGAGCCCAUCACUGCAGACAGUGACCCCGCUUAUAGUUCGAAGGUACUGCUGCUCUCUUCCCCGGGGUUGGAGGAAUUGUAUCGUUGUUGCAUGCUCUUUGUGGAUGACAUGGCUGAGCCAAGGGAGACGCCAGAGCAUCCUCUGAAGCAGAUUAAGGUAAGAGCUGGAGAGCAGGAGGAGAUGCAUUCACGGGUAAUGUGCACAACCUGUCAUGUUUUGAGUGUUC
rnacentral:lncRNA from 1 species